CCUACGGGUGGCAGCAGUGAGGAAUAUUGGUCAAUGGUCGCAAGCCUGAACCAGCCAAGUCGCGUGAAUGAUGAAUGCCCUACGGUUUGUAAACUUCUUUUAUAACGGAAUAAAGUUAUGCACGUAUGCCUUUUUUUAUUUACCUUAUGAAUAAGCAUCGGCUAACUCCGUGCCAGCCGCCGCGGUAAUCAGGAGGAUGCGAGCGUUAUCCGGAUUUAUUGGGGUUAAAGGGAGCGUCGGUGGGUUGUUAAGUCAGUUGUGAAAUGUGGUGGCUCAAACUAAAAAGUGCAUUUGAUACUGGGAGGAUUGAGUACAUUGUAGGUAGGCGGAAUUCGUGGUGUAGCGGUGAAAUGCUUAGAUAUGACGAAGAACUCCGAUUGCGAAGGCAGCUUACUA
rnacentral:rRNA from 1 species